GUGGGGAAUCUUCCGCAAUGGGCGAAAGCCUGACGGAGCAACGCCGCGUGAGUGAAGAAGGUCUUCGGAUCGUAAAGCUCUGUUGAGAGGGACGAGAGAUUACUUCAGGAAAUGGGAGUAAGAGGACGGUACCUUUCGAGGAAGCCACGGCUAACUACGUGCCAGCAGCCGCGGUAAUACGUAGGUGGCGAGCGUUGUCCGGAAUUAUUGGGCGUAAAGGGAGCGCAGGUGGGACUUCAAGUCAGUCUUAAAAGUGCGGGGCUCAACCCCGUGAUGGGAUUGAAACUGUAGUUCUUGAGUGCAGGAGAGGAAAGCGGAAUUCCUAGUGUAGCGGUGAAAUGCGUAGAUAUUAGGAGGAACACCAGUGGCGAAGGCGGCUUUCUGGACUGUAACUGACACUGAGGCUCGAAAGCGUGGGGAGCGAACAGGAUUAGAAACCCUAGUAGUCC
rnacentral:rRNA from 1 species